AGCAGCCGCGGUAAUUCCAGCUCCAAUAGCGUAUAUUAAAGUUGUUGCAGUUAAAAAGCUCGUAGUUGAAUUUCGGGAUCAAUAUGUUGGUCGUGCCUUGGUACGUACUGGCAUUAUCGAUUCCUACCUUCUGAAGAACCUCGAUGUCAUUAAUUUGGUGUCUUGGGGAAUUAGGACUGUUACUUUGAAAAAAUUAGAGUGUUUAAAGCAGGCUCGCGCUUGAAUACAUUAGCAUGGAAUAAUGAAAUAGGACGUUUGAUUCUAUUUUGUUGGUUUCUAGGAUCGACGUAAUGAUUAAUAGGGAUAGUUGGGGGCAUUAGUAUUCAAUUGUCAGAGGUGAAAUUCUUGGAUUUAUUGAAGACUAACUACUGCGAAAGCAUUUGCCAAGGAUGUUUUCAUUAAUCAAGAACGAAAGUUAGGGGAUCGAAGACGAUCAGAUACCGUCGUAGUCUUAACCAUAAACUAUGCCGACUAGGGAUCGGAUGAUGUUAAUUUUUAAUGACUCAUUCGGCGCCUUAAC
rnacentral:rRNA from 1 species